rnacentral:tRNA from 1 species
CGGGGUGUGGCGCAGUUGGCAGCGCGCGUGAUCUGGGAUCACGAGGCCGGAGGUUCAAGUCCUCUCACCCCGA